rnacentral:lncRNA from 1 species
UGCAACGACAAAGCUAUAAGUAUUUUAGAGGCAAAAGCUAUGUUGGGAGUUAUAUGAGAUGCAAUUGAAAAGAAUGUCCUACUCAUGAACUUAUCGAAGAUUUAUUGUGCAACCAUAAGACUUUUGAAGAGGAAUUGGAAUCUCAACCCCACUAAGAAACUUGACGAUAGAAUUUUUCGUUUUCGAUACUAGAGGGCUAUGGAAUUCGCUAAAUUAGUGAGAGAUACGAUUAGAUAAAAGAUCUCAUCUAAAUUGUGCAUGUCAUCAUGAGUAGUCUCUUUAUAUUUUUAUUUUUAUAAAUUCAUCUGUAUCUUCACUAUCACCGCAUGGUAUAUUUGAUAUCUUUAAAUUAUCCAAACCACAUGGACUGGUUGAAAAAUUUGAGAAUAGUUCUCACUUAGGAGAUAGAUUCCUAUUUUUUUGUUCUCAAUUUAAUUGGGAAUGAUGCUUUAAAGGAGAUAAAAUCACAUAUGAGAUAUGGCGGGAUGAUAGUGUAACUGUCAAGUGUAUCCUGAUUAACUUAAUCAUGCGAUUAAGUCAAUUAGUUUCUUUUCAUGGAUGG